UCCACGCAGUCAUCGACAAAGCAUCUGAACAGUUGUAAAAUGUUCACUUUGCGGCGUUUUCGCAUUCCUAAUGCUGGAUGUCCUUUUAAAGAGGGAGAGUCAGCUUUCAGUAUAUGCAACCGACACUGCCGUCUGAAGUUGGAAUAAUGAUUUGUGCUGUCACUAAUCCAGCCUCCCUUGAUGAAAUGGCUGAACAGGCAGCGGUGGUCCUCAAUUGUGUCAGACCAAACUAAUGUAUUGAAAGUAUCACAAGAAAGCUGCAGAAAAAGGGGUUUAUAUCAUUGGAAGUGGUGACUUUGACUCCAUUCCAGCAGAUCUGGGAGUAAUAUAUACCAGAAAUAAAAUGAAUGGUACACUGACUGCUGUGGAAAGUUUUCUGACUCUACAUUCAGGACCUGAGCUUUCCUACAUGACCUCGGUCACAGACUUCAUGGUACCAUCUUGUGACUGGACGUGUCAUGGUGAUUGUGAUUGAUCGCUGUGUUCCUGCAAAGCAAAGUGGUUCUUGCCUCUUGCCAUAGAUUAAUCGACCAAAGCAUACGGAAGUUCCCUG